AAGACAGCAAGGCAGGGGAGGUACUCACAGCACCCAUGAGCGCCAGCCCAGAACCUACGUUGAUGACUGUAGGGAUGAUGCUGAAUUUUCCUGCCUGUGAAGUAGAAACAGCCAGGAGCAAAGGAAGGCUUGGACCAAAGUCUAUCAGCGGAGCCUCCAUCAAGCUGCCCCUGGGCUGGUGAGCCUACAUCCUGCUAGAUUAGAUGGCAACAGGGGGGCAGUAGAGCAGCUGGACACUGGAAAGACUGCCCUGCCCGUGUUUCCCGUGAGCUAACCCUGAGUUCCAGAACAUGCCAGUGGGAUGAGCUGGCCCAACCAAAAAGAGAAACUGCCAGGUUCAUCUGUCUAAACAGGACAUAGAGCUUCAACAACAAAGGAAAGAGGCCACAAGGCCAGGGUAGGGGCAGUAGGUCUGAGGUUAGCUGUCCUCCAAGGUACUGAAAGCAGUAUCAGAGCCCAGUGGCUUCUCCUUGCAAACAUGAUGAGUGGAACUGACCUUGAAU